rnacentral:rRNA from 1 species
CCUACGGGAGGCAGCAGUGAGGAAUAUUGGUCAAUGGGCGGAAGCCUGAACCAGCCAAGUAGCGUGCAGGAUGACGGCCCUACGGGUUGUAAACUGCUUUUAUACGGGAAUAACGCGCCUUACGUGUAGGGCUUUGCAUGUACCGUAUGAAUAAGGACCGGCUAAUUCCGUGCCAGCAGCCGCGGUAAUACGGAAGGUCCGGGCGUUAUCCGGAUUUAUUGGGUUUAAAGGGAGCGUAGGCCGCCUGUCAAGCGUGCGGUGAAAUGUCCGGGCUCAACCCGGGCCUUGCAGCGCGAACUGGCGUGCUUGAGUCCGCGGAAAGCAGGCGGAAUGCGUCGUGUAGCGGUGAAAUGCUUAGAUAUGACGAAGAACCCCGAUUGCGAAGGCAGCUUGCUGCAGCGGAACUGACGCUGAUGCUCGAAAGCGCGGGGAUCGAACAGGAUUAGAUACCCUUGUAGUC